rnacentral:misc_RNA from 1 species
UUUGACUACUUGGACUAAGAUGGACCAAGAGGUUUGCUCAGAUCUUAAUCUAUAUGAUUUUAUGUGCCUGGUGGUGUUUGAUUUUGAGAGCUAGUUGAUGGACUAAUAUUCAUUAAUUGUGGAGGGUUUGUGGAGACACACAUAUAAGGACUUAUUUUUUGCGUUAAUUUGGUGUUGGCUUCUUGAAUAACGCUUGGAUGCUUGCAUCUUCCUCGUAUGGGAAUGUGUGAAGAGGCUUGAUCAAGAGGACUUUUGUGCCUUAGUUUUUGGUUGAAAGUUUUCUACUUAUGAACAAGAUUUGUGGUCCAUCUACUUGUAUUUUUAACUUGUCUUUCUCCUUUUUGUUUUUAGAAUUUUUGGUUGAUAGCAGUAUUUCAUGCCCUUGAUCACAGUUCAGUAGUUUGGUUGUGGUUCUCAUCAAUUGGUUUGAGAAUAUUCAAGAAGUCUUUCUCUUUAGUUGUUAGGUUUAAAAUUCUUUGCUUAGAAUAAUAAUAAUAAAAAAAAGGAAAUGUGAGCUUCCGAUAUUUGUUUUCUCAGGAUCAUUGAGAAAUUCGUGGACAUGGGCAAAGAUUGAUCUAGGAAGUGUUUCGUACAAUAAUAUGCCGUCCAUAAGGAUCAAGGAGUGUUUCUGUGAAUGAAUCCUAUAUGCAUGGUGAAACCUAUUGGCAGGGUAGUCGAGAGAUUUUCCUCUUUGUUUUGUGUCUUUCAAUUAAAUUUAUAUCCCUAUUUAUUAGGCAAGUAGAAUUAGUUUUUGAGAUUAUAUGUAUACAUGAGCCCAGCCUUUUUAUUUGAGGAAAAUGUUGAUUAUGAAUGAUCAGGGAGUUUUCUUACCCCUUAGAAUAUUUGAUUCGCUCUAUUUUAUAUGAGUAGAAUCCUUGAGAGAAUGUUGUUAUGAUUUUUAGGUUAAUAGUGCCUUUCCUUGAUUCCAGUG